GGAAAAAUUUGGUAGAAUCAAUAGCUGCCAAUUAAUUGAAAAGUGUUUGCGUCGUUUGAUGUCUAGAGCUACAAAGAAAACAAAAUCAUUGUGUGGUCCUACAAAAAAAAACAGAGUUUUGCCGGCAAAAUUGAGGACAAGGGAACUUAUAGACUCGGAUUCCAAAUAAAAUAAAUUUGAGCAGAAGCCAGAAAGGGUGAGCCAAGCGAAAAGGAAACAAAAGGAAGCAGAUUUGGAUGUAAUCGAUUUAGAAGAAGGAAGUUCGUCGCCAUCGUCAACAAGUUCUACUCGAUCGUCUGUUUGCAGUAAAA